AGUUUGAUAAUGGCUCAGAUUGAACGCUGGCGGCAUGCUUUACACAUUGCAAGUCGGACGGCAGCACAGAGAAGCUUUGCUUCUUGGGUUGGCGAGUGGCGAACGGGUGAGUAACAUAUCGGAACGUACCGAGCAGUGGGGGAUAACUAAUCGAAAGAUUAGCUAAUACCGCAUAUUUUCUGAGGAAGAAAGCAGGGGACCAUUUGGCCUUGCGCUGUUUGAGCGGCCGAUAUCUGAUUAGCUAGUUGGUGGGGUAAAGGCCUACCAAGGCGACGAUCAGUAGCGGGUCUGAGAGGAUGAUCCGCCACACUGGGACUGAGACACGGCCCAGACUCCUACGGGAGGCAGCAGUGGGGAAUAUUGCACAAUGGGCGCAAGCCUGAUGCAGCGACGCCGCGUGAGGGAUGACGGCCUUCGGGUUGUAAACCUCUGUUAGCAUCGAAGAAGCGAAAGUGACGGUAGGUGCAGAGAAAGCGCCGGCUAACUACGUGCCAGCAGCCGCGGUAAUACGUAGGGCGCGAGCGUUGUCCGGAAUUAUUGGGCGUAAAGAGCUUGUAGGCGGUUGGUCGCGUCUGCUGUGAAAGGCCGGGGCUUAACUCCGGUUUUGCAGUGGGUACGGGCUAACUAGAGUGCAGUAGGGGAGACUGGAAUUCCUGGUGUAGCGGUGGAAUGCACAGAUAUCAGGAGGAACACCGAUGGCGAAGGCAGGUCUCUGGGCUGUAACUGACGCUGAGAAGCGAAAGCAUGGGGAGCGAACAGGAUUAGAUACCCUGGUAGUCCAUGCCGUAAACGUUGGGCACUAGGUGUGGGGGACAUUCCACGUUUUCCGCGCCGUAGCUAACGCAUUAAGUGCCCCGCCUGGGGAGUACGGCCGCAAGGCUAAAACUCAAAGGAAUUGACGGGGGCCCGCACAAGCGGCGGAGCAUGCGGAUUAAUUCGAUGCAACGCGAAGAACCUUACCAAGGCUUGACAUGCAUUAGAUCGCGUCAGAGAUGGCGUUUCCCUUCGGGGCUGGUGUACAGGUGGUGCAUGGUUGUCGUCAGCUCGUGUCGUGAGAUGUUGGGUUAAGUCCCGCAACGAGCGCAACCCUCGUUCUAUGUUGCCAGCGGUUCGGCCGGGGACUCAUAGGAGACUGCCGGGGUCAACUCGGAGGAAGGUGGGGAUGACGUCAAAUCAUCAUGCCCCUUAUGUCUUGGGCUUCACGCAUGCUACAAUGGCCGGUACAGAGGGUUGCGAUACUGUGAGGUGGAGCUAAUCCCUUAAAGCCGGUCUCAGUUCGGAUUGGGGUCUGCAAACUCGACCCCAUGAAAGUCGGAGUCGCUAGUAAUCGCAGAAUCAGCAAACGCUGCGGUAAAUACGUUCCCGGGCCUUGUACACACCGGCC
rnacentral:rRNA from 1 species